GACGAACGCUGGCGGCGUGCUUAACACAUGCAAGUCGAACGAUGAAGCUGGAGCUUGCUCCGGUGGAUUAGUGGCGAACGGGUGAGUAACACGCGAGCAAUCUGCCCUUGACUCUGGGAUAACUGCGGGAAACUGUAGCUAAUACCGGAUAUGAGAUCUGAAGGCAUCUUCGGGUUUGGAAAGAAUUUCGGUCAAGGAUGAGCUCGCGGCCUAUCAGCUAGUUGGUGAGGUAAUGGCUCACCAAGGUGACGACGGGUAGCCGGCCUGAGAGGGUGACCGGCCACACUGGAACUGAGACACGGUCCAGACUCCUACGGGAGGCAGCAGUGGGGAAUAUUGCACAAUGGGCGAAAGCCUGAUGCAGCAACGCCGCGUGGGGGAUGAAGGCCUUCGGGUUGUAAACCUCUUUUAGCAGGGAAGAAGCGAAAGUGACGGUACCUGCAGAAAAAGCACCGGCUAACUACGUGCCAGCCGCCGCCGUAA
rnacentral:rRNA from 1 species